GAUGAACGCUGGCGGCGUGCAUAACACAUUCAAGUCGAACGGUGACGAGGACCUCGGUCCUCUGAUCAGUGGCGGACGGGUGAGUAACGCGUGAGCAACCUACCUAUCAGAGGGGGAUAACACAGGGAAACUUGUGCUAAUACCGCAUGACACAUACUGAUCGCAUGUUUGGUAUGUCAAAGAGAAAUCGCUGAUAGAUGGGCUCGCGUCUGAUUAGAUAGUUGGCAGGGUAACGGCCUACCAAGUCUACGAUCAGUAGCCGACCUGAGAGGGUGACCGGCCACAUUGGGACUGAGACACGGCCCAAACUCCUACGGGAGGCAGCAGUGGGGAAUAUUGCACAAUGGGGGGAAACCCUGAUGCAGCAACGCCGCGUGAUUGAAGAAGGUUUUCGGAUUGUAAACCUCUGUCCUCUGUGAAGAUAAUGACGGUAGCAGAGGAGGAAGCUCCGGCUAACUACGUGCCAGCAG
rnacentral:rRNA from 1 species